GAGUCUGAGUGGCAGCUGGGUGGUGGGGUACAUUAUAAACCUCAGGUCACUGAGAAAUUGUUCUGCUUAGAAUCUUUAAGGUAGCCCGCCCUUGCCUUGGCUUCUCAGGCAGCACACAUUUCGUCUUCCAUUGUCAGCCACUGGCCUCUGGGUUCUUGUUUGCUGAAGUCACCAUUUCUGCUGUAACAAACAUCUCAGUACUUAGGAAGAUGGUAGUAUUACCUCUUAGGGAGCAAUUGUUCAUUUCCGAAGAGUGGUUAACUCAUCCUGAUUCCUUGCCUCUGUAAGUCAUAUCAGAUUGUAAUUUUUAAUAAUGAUACCAGUUAGGUGUCUCAUCUUUCUCAUAUUUGCCCAGGUUAAGAAUUGGCCUCUGUCAGGUUUCUAAUGGUACAGUUCUUUCUAAUGAUUACUUUGUAUUCCUUGCAUGAACUCAGUUUAAAUGAAAAA